rnacentral:lncRNA from 1 species
AGAGAAUGCGUGCCUGGCGAUUGUCACUUGCAGUCGCAACUUUUACAAAGUGGCAGCUGGCCUCCAUGGGGCGGUGCAGACAGGGGACUGUCAUUGCUGGAGCACCUCGUGGCUAUCCACAGGAAAUG